rnacentral:rRNA from 1 species
AUGGCGGGUGUUGGAAGGGGGAUGGGGCGGGGCAGUGGCGAUGGCGAUGGCGGGUUGCGAACAGUGGGGGUCGUCGCCGGCGUCCAUAUCCCAUUCCCAGAUCAAGAGGCUAUUCUCGCGUAUCAUGGGAGAGGUCAUGGCAGCGGCAGUGCAACUAUCCCCGUCGGCCGUUCAUCGGGAGGACAAGCAACGGGAUUUCUGGAUGACAUCAACCGAAGCGGAUUUGCCACCGGGGUGGCUCGUCAGGGUGGCAUAAGCAGAGGCCCGGAGGUUCCACUGCCGAUUAAAGAACCAACUAAAGGUAAUGCAAAUGAUGUAACAAACAUAUGGUGUCAUGGGAAAUCAUUGGAAGGACAAGCAUGGGAGUGUGGAUAUUGUGCUUUACUUAGACAUGGUGGGGGUGCAACCCGAUUCAAGCAGCAUAUAGCUGGAUUGGGCCCUCAUGUCUUCUCUUGCAUGAAUGCACCUCAUCAUGUAGUUGCCAUUUUUCGGAAAGCCAUUCCAGAGGGAGAGGCCCGAAGGAGGACUUCCAAAGAAGGAAAGAAAAGAGUGGUAGAUGAGGUCAAUCAUAUAAACAGUCAAGGUGCAUCAAUACAUAUUGAUUGUGAAGAUGAAGAUGAUGAGAUACUCCAGCAGACCCUACGAAAUUCAUUACGUGGAGAUCAUGGGAGAACCAGCGUUGUUAAAGGAAGUGUAGGGAGCAGCUCAAGUGGUGUCAAAGACUUUUUUGACGUUGAUUUGGCAUAUAGCAAGACUAGGCCACAACAGACAAUGGAGGCGUGUAUUAACAAGGUGGAAUACGAAUCUAGGAUUGGGAAGGCUUGGGCAAAAUGGUUUCAUGCUAAUGACAUCCCUGGGCACAUGCAAAAUUCAAAGUUUGUGUAUGAGCACAUCAAAGAAGUGAUUGAAGAGAUAGGGCAGCAACAUGUUGUCCAACUCGUGACCGACAAUGGCUCUAACUUCAAGAAAGCAUGUCUUGACCUUGUUGCAGAUUUCCCACACAUCACAUGGCAGCCAUGUGUAGCUCACACCAUUAACCUCAUGCUGAAGGAGAUGGGAUGCUUUCCUGAGAUUAAUGAAGUGAAGCACAUAGGUGGAGAGUUGGUGCGACCGAAUGCCACAAGGUUUGGAACUAACUUUAUGUUCCUAGAAAGCUUUUGGGAUAAGCAAGAGAAAUUCCAAGUGUGGAUGACAUCUCCAGAGUGGAAAAAUAGCUCAUGGAGUUCCGAGGUUGAUUAUGACUACACAUAUGAUUGUUUGAUAAGUAGGACCUGGUGGAAUGGUGUGAAGCGGGUGCUGGAUUUAAUUGGCCCAAUAUAUAGCAUACUUCGAUAUGCUGAUUCACAAAAGCUUGGGUCACUUUCUGGCUUUAUGACAAAGAUGAUGCAUGCUAGGCAUCAAUUGAGUUCAUUGUUUUCUCAUGAUUCUCUAGACCAACACGAGUACCUAAAUGUGGUUGACAAAAGGGUUGAGCAUUUAUACAAAAACACAUUGAUGGUUGCAGCCGGUGUUCUGGACCCGGCAAGUCACUACAAGUAUAACUUUGGAAAAAGUCUAUCACACAUGAGGGCACUCAAUGCAGCACUUAAGAAGUUGGCUAGUCCUUCAGAGUUCAUUGCUAUGAUUCCUGAAGUUCACUCUUAUGUCAAUACAAGAGGGGCUUUUGAAGGCAUGUACCCUCGUAGUGCAGCUGAAAAGGUGUCCCCAACUGAGUGGUGGAUAACAUUUGGAGAUACUACACCGGUGCUUCAAAAGUAUGCUAUUCAGAUUGUUUCUCAAUGCACCUCUUCAAGCGGUUGUGAGCGGAAUUGGAGCACAUACGCUUUAGUGCAUACACUAGUGAGGAACCGUCUUGGUUUUGAAAAGUUGCACAAGAUGGUUUUUUGCCACUACAACCUUGGGCUGCGAAUCCGACUAAUUCUUGGUGAGACAAAAGAGAAAGAGGUUGAUACUUGUGCGUUGUUGAUGAAUACCUCUCUCUAUGAUUGUAACAACGAAAUCAUGGAUUGGCUGGGCAACUCAACAAGUGAUUCCAUGCAAGAUGAGGAUGCGUAUGAUGGUGAUGGUGAUUGUCCAGUGGUCGUAGAGGUGGGACAAAAGAGAACUAGAGGAAGUGGGAUGCCUCCAAGUGAGGAGGAAGAGGAGGAAGAGGAGGCAGAGGAUGUAGAUGAUGGGGAGGAUGAUGAAGGUAACAAUGACGUGCUGCCUAACGAAAACAGUGAACCUCUGCGGAAGUCUACAAGGAAAAGGAGGAAGAGGAAGGUGCUUUCUGAUAGCUCCUCCUUCUCCAUUGUCAGCAGGGUCUUGGCUGCAGUUCUGCAGUUCUACUAUAGGUCCCCCCUCCCCCCUCUCUCUCUGACCACUGAUCCACCCGUGUCAUCGUGGAAUUGCAGGAGAGAACCUAUUGUGUUGGGCUCAGACGGUGCUGGCCGGGCGGACAGGCUCAAUGCUUCCUCUGCAGGCUACCCUGACAAUGAUUACUUUUUCUAUUCAGCCAACCGGAGAUUUAUUAUUUUGAAGCUUGUUAAGGAUAUAGAUGAUGAUGCAAUUGUUGAAGUAUGGUUGGUUUUACGGUUUGCUGCCCUUCGUUUGGUUCUUGGUCUUUCGUCGCCUCGUGGUGUUGGUCUUCUGCUUCCAAUGGCUAGGAUAUGGUGUUUCUACUUCUUUCUAGGGUGUUUGUCGUUGGUCCUGGCCUCCUGGAUAGAUGGUUGUGGAUCUGAUAUGUUUGGCCAAUACUUCGUCCAGAAAAAAAAAUGGUCGCACCAUGGAACACCUUGUUGUUUAUAUAGGAUGUGGUACAAGCCUGAAUUUGUGUUCUCUUCUGAUAGAUAUGGCAUUACCAGUAGUGGGAAACCACAUUGUCUCUACUUCAGAUGGGUGUUGUUUGGUUAUAUGACUUGGUACUAUGGUCAUAUGUGGUUUGGUCUGAGUGUGGCUGAGCCGUCGGCGUCGCGUUGUGGUGUUGCCGCCCGCAUAAGCAAGCUACAUGGCGUCGAGAAGAAACCGCCUUUGAUUGGUCUUUUACAACUGUUGCUCCUUGCUAUCAUGUUUGAAAAUUUCACUGCAAUACAUCGACAGGGCGCGGCGUGCCGCCGCCCGGUCAUGGCUAACCUUAUUCUGCACAUCAACCGGCUUAUUCUCAUAACACUCCUCCGUCCCCGUCCGGAACCACAUCCACCACCCACCAUCCCACCCCCACCGCACCCACCCCCGCGCUACCCACCUUCUUCCCCACACAUCCAACGACCCAACCUCCCUGACACAUAUCACCACCUUCGCCCCCAAUCCCCUCCCGCACCAUCCACGGGUCCACCUGUACUUCCUACGCCGCCGGCAGCAGUUCCACCCGGCGAUCCCCUCGACCUUCCUCCGACACGGGGCGUUGCCGCCUUGACCAACCCAAAGCAGCCACACUCCUUCACCCCUGGAUCCCGUUGCCUGCCACCUGCAGAUCCAGCGAUCCUGGGUGCCGUGUCCCACCCACCACCGCCCCCCGUGCGUAUCCGCCAUCCGCACGAUGAGCUCGGGCACCACGCGCCGUCGUGCCGCGACCAACUACCCAACCGCGAUGCAACGGUCGCCGCCGUCCCACACGCACAGUCGCGCUCACCCAGGCGUCGCAGCAAGCCUGCCGACGGACCACCUCGCCUGGAUCCCGCGUGCCCCUGGUCCACAACAUCUACCAUCCACCACGGCGGCCCAACCCACCACCUUCCUCUAGCGUCGCCACCUGAUUCCCGCCGGGGCGAUGUGGAAUCUGUGGAUCCGGGGUUAGGGGAGGUUUGGCCGGCGCCGCUGGCCGGGCUGAUCUCUAGCAGGAGCACGACCAGCGUGCAUGUGGAGGGAGGCCCUGCUUGCAGUGCCCACCUCCCGCCGCUGCAGUGCGUGGCCGUCCACAAAUGUGCGGCAGUGCGUGCUUGCAUACAAGUGCGUCCAAUUAGGAAUUGCAAUCCACAGCUGCUCUGCCUGUGCAGUUCGCAAAGCACUUGCGUGCAGAAAAUUUUGGCGGCGCGACUUUCUCUUGGUCUCCCCUUCUGCAGGUCCUGUCGCAUUCCAACAGCCACCCUCUCUCAAUCCAGUACCAUGGCUGCCGGAUCUGGCCCAACCACUAGGAGGAUGAUGAGCGAGUCCCAGGCAGUUACCACUGAAGUUGGGCGGCAUGCGACCUUGCAGUACGACGCGACAACAAAAACUUCUUCGGUGAGGACUUGCAGCUCACCAGCGAGCGUCUUGCGGUUGGCACUACACCGGCAUGCAGUCCACUACCACUUGCAGUUGGCACAACGCGGUCGGCAUCCAAAGCCCAUGGGGUUUGCUCGGCUGAUACUCCACCACUCGAGCAGCAUGACCAUGGUGAUGCAGUGCACCGCGACUCCAGCGUGCAGUGCAGUGGGUGUGUGCCCUCCUCGAGUACUCCUCGACUCCAUGUUCUUCGUCGAAGACAUGCAGCUCGUCCGCGAGUGGCUCAUGGUUCAGGCAGCACGGUGCGUGCAGUCCACUACUUGA